ACGAGGUUUUGGAACACAAUUAAGCAGUAGUCAGGUUAAAGCAGGGUAAUUCCAGCAUUAUUUCCUACCGAUGAAUAAUUAACACAAUGUUUUAUUUGCCUGCCAAUGCUGGGCGUCGGAAAUGCUUGUUAAUUGUGUUUCCUCUGACUCGACUCUCAACAACUCUUUCGGUUUUAAUUAAUAGGAAAUUAAUUUUGCAGUGCUCUGUUUUGACAUGGUUAAUUUACAUGGGCUCGGGACCAAAACAUCAAAGAAGCACCUUCGCAAGUGCACAGCAACACCUACAACUUCAUAGUGAUACCCUUUCUUCAUUGACAGAGCUGUCAUUGUGAGUUCAGAGCGAGAUGUUCCGAAUCUGGCCUUUUUUCUUGUUCCUCUGAAGUUCUUUCAUCUGUACUGGGUUACACAAACAUGCGAGUUUAUGUGAGUCUGUGACGGUGAAAUAAGCAAGUGCUUUAGGAGCUUUAUCUUCUAGUGCAACUUGACUCAAACGGCAGAAAUAAAACACAUCAACACAAUACUUUCAGUGUUGUCUCUGUAGCAUGAAUUAGUUUUUCUUAAUGAUUUCCUUGCAUACUGUUUUGUAUAUAUUUUGUCUUAACUAAUAUUUGCACUAGGUAGCUCCGCCCCCAGUGGAAUCUCAUUGGUCCAAAAUCCUAUGCCAAAAAGCUGGAUAUUUAACCAUCUAAAACCUGACAUAUAAAAUAAAUGUCAGCAAAAUCUGUUUUUAAUGUAUUGAGCCAUUAAAUCAAAUCUUAAAGUUUGAUUUUUAUUUAGCAUCAUAUUUGAUACGUCAAGCUUUUAUGGCUAAUAUAUAUUGAGAAUAUAAUAUAUAUUCAGAGGCCCCCAAAAAAGCACAAAUAUGCAAUUUGGUGCAAUUGCUGAUAUUUACA
ensembl:lncRNA